CAAUGCGAUUUUGCUAGUAGUUGGGGUAACUUGGCCACUAGUCACGAGUCAACACACAGCAUUGAUCGGUGCAGCGUUACAAACUUUAGUGUUUAGUAAUAUCAAUGGUAUAUUGGUAGCAAUAUUGGUAUACCUCCUUUAGCCUAGGAUGCAAGUCCCAUUGACUUGGGCCUAUCUUCCAAUUGAGAUGACUAUAGGUGUUGGGGCAACUUGACACUAUGGUUGAGCCAUAGAGGGUGAAAGUCCCUUAACGUCCAGGUAUUGAUAUUACGAACUAGAGAGCCAGCAAUGGCAUUUUGUUAGAGUCGGGUUGCUUGAGAGUGCAACCUAAAGAGCGAGGUAAACUGCUCGUAAGGCUAUUAGAGAAAUAUCGCUAUGACACCGAUAGCAAACAAGUACCGUGAGGGAAAGUUGCAAAGUACUUUGAAGAGAGAGUUAAACAGGGCGUGAAACCGCUAGCUGGUAAACGAGUAGAGCCACGAAGUCGUUUCGUAGAAUAAGAGAUACAGAUUCAGUUGAGGUUGGCGCAAGUUGGCCUUGGUGCAUUUCUGUUUAUCUCUCUAUGUAUGCGUACACUGCAACCAAUUAGACGAUCAAUUGUGGAAAUAGCUAGCCUACAUUGGGAGAAAUCUUAGCGUUAGUUAGCGAAAUGCCUAUAUACCUUCUGUAGGUUGUUCGAUUUGAUCCUCGUGGUCAUCUUGAGCGUAUGAUGGGAUGGUAUGAGAACUACAAUUGAAUACUGAUUGGCAAAAUGAAAAUCCAUUCGCAAGAAUGGUCCCAGAUAACACUACCUGUAUCGUAUGUGUGUACAAGUACUUAUUAUUAGCGUAAGCUUGGUAGUUUUAAAUUUAGACUGGUUAGGCUAUCUUUGGUUUCGGCCCUUGAUGCCUAUUCAGCUUUCUAUCUAAUUGGCUAUCAACUUUGCUACUAAUCUUGUGCUUGCCAAUGAUAGCAUGCAUGCGACAAUGGGCAAGUAAUCUUA
rnacentral:rRNA from 1 species